AGUGAACGCUGGCGGUAGGCCUAACACAUGCAAGUCGAACGGCAGCACAGUAAGAGCUUGCUCUUACGGGUGGCGAGUGGCGGACGGGUGAGGAAUACAUCGGAAUCUACUUUUUCGUGGGGGAUAACGUAGGGAAACUUACGCUAAUACCGCAUACGACCUACGGGUGAAAGCAGGGGAUCUUCGGACCUUGCGCGAUUGAAUGAGCCGAUGUCGGAUUAGCUAGUUGGCGGGGUAAAGGCCCACCAAGGCGACGAUCGGUAGCUGGUCUGAGAGGAUGAUCAGCCACACUGGAACUGAGACACGGUCCAGACUCCUACGGGAGGCAGCAGUGGGGAAUAUUGGACAAUGGGCGCAAUCCUGAUCCAGCCAUACCGCGUGGGUGAAGAAGGCCUUCGGGUUGUAAAGCCCUUUUGUUGGGAAAGAAAAGCAGCAGGCUAAUACCCCGCUGUUCUGACGGUACCCAAAGAAUAAGCACCGGCUAACUUCGUG
rnacentral:rRNA from 1 species